rnacentral:miRNA from 1 species
CAAAACCGGCAAUUACUUCUGC